AUCCAAAUGAUGAGUCCCAAAUUGGACGAAACGUGCGUCCUGGAU
rnacentral:hammerhead_ribozyme from 1 species